rnacentral:rRNA from 1 species
UACGUAGGGUGCAAGCGUUGUCCGGAAUUAUUGGGCGUAAAGAGCUCGUAGGCGGUCUGUCGCGUCGGCUGUGAAAACUCGGGGCUCAACUCCGAGCUUGCAGUCGAUACGGGCAGGCUAGAGUUCGGCAGGGGAGACUGGAAUUCCUGGUGUAGCGGUGGAAUGCGUAGAGAUCCGGAAGAACACCGGUGGCGAAGGCGGUCUGCUGGGCCAAGACUGACGCUGAGGCGCGACAGCGUGGGGAGCAAACAGG